rnacentral:rRNA from 1 species
AGCAGCCGCGGUAAUUCCAGCUCCAAUAGCGUAUAUUAAAGUUGCUGCAGUUAAAAAGCUCGUAGUUGAAUUUCGGGAUCAAUAUGUUGGUCGUGCCUUGGUACGUACUAGCUCAUUGGUUUCUCCCUUCUGACGAACCAUGAUGUCAUUAAUUUGAUGUCAUGGGGAAUCAGGACUGUUACUUUGAAAAAAUUAGAGUGUUUAAAGCAGGCUCGCGCUUGAAUACAUUAGCAUGGAAUAAUGAAAUAGGACAUUUGAUUCUAUUUUGUUGGUUUCUAGGAUCGAUGUAAUGAUUAAUAGGGACAGUUGGGGGCAUUAGUAUUCAAUUGUCAGAGGUGAAAUUCUUGGAUUUAUUG